CGGACGGGUGAGUAACGCGUGGGUAACCUGCCUCAUACAGGGGGAUAACAGUUAGAAAUGACUGCUAAUACCGCAUAAGACCACAGAGCCGCAUGGCGCGGGGGUAAAAACUCCGGUGGUAUGAGAUGGACCCGCGUCUGAUUAGCUAGUUGGUAAGGUAACGGCUUACCAAGGCGACGAUCAGUAGCCGACCUGAGAGGGUGACCGGCCACAUUGGGACUGAGACACGGCCCAA
rnacentral:rRNA from 1 species